GGUUUCUUGUUAUAAUAGGAGAUUAGGCCUGCCCACUGACUAUAGUUGAAGGGCCGCAGCCAUUUUGACUGUGCAAAGGUAGCAUAAUCAUUAGUCUUUUAAUUGAAGGCUGGAAUGAAAGGUUAGAUGAGGUAAAUACUGUUUUAUAAAGAUAAAUUGAAUUUAUAUUUUAAGUAAAAAUACUUAAAUUAUGUUAGGGGACGAGAAGACCCUAUAGAGUUUGAUAUAUUAAAUUUUUACUGUGUUAAUUUUUUGAUUUGAAGUUAAUUAUUAAUUAUAUUUAAUUGGGGUGAUUGAAAAAUAGAAUUAAUUUUUUCUUGAUUUUAAUAUUAUAGGUAGUAGAUUGAUCCAUAAUUAAUGAUUAAAAGAUUAAAUUACCUUAGGGAUAACAGCAUAAUUCUUUUUGAGAGUUCAUAUUGAUAAAAGAGAUUAUGACCUCGAUG
rnacentral:rRNA from 1 species